UCUGUUUCCUGUGAAUAACUGCUGCUUUGUCGUGCAGGAAGGACUGUAACUUAAAAGCAUUAGCAAUUGAGGAGUGCUUGGUCAGAGCGGCCAUAAGAACAUCACGAAUCUUCUGCAGUCUGCUCACUUCAUGCCACAUGGUUAUGAGGAUGAGGAGCAGGUGGCAGCUGCCCUGACCAAAUCAGCUUUGCUGUACAGAGCAGGUCUCAUACCAAGACAAUCCAGAGCAAAUGGUGCAGCAGAAGCUAGAAGGGCCCAGCACCUACAUUAGGUGUGCUGUAUUAGAUUCCUUCAUAUGAGGUAUUUCUUUUUAAUGAUGUCUUCCACUACCUGCCUUCCAAAUUAAAUCCAGAAUGAUAUGCUCCAAGACACAGCAAAAUGGAAGACUAAGAGAAUUACUCAUCAAAAUCCUUUAUCUGGGCUUGCUGCAUUCAGUGAACACCACUAGAAUUUAGCUUUACACCACAAAACCAUGGGCUUUUAAGGUAAAAAUCUGCCUCAUUUUGGCAAAAGAUUAAGCUUCAACAUUAGAGUUGAUUAAUUUGAAGAGUGUUUCUAGAUGAUGGAGAUCACAGUA